rnacentral:rRNA from 1 species
GACGAACGCUGGCGGCGUGCCUAAUACAUGCAAGUAGAACGCUGAAGGAGGAGCUUGCUUCUCUGGAUGAGUUGCGAACGGGUGAGUAACACGUAGGUAACCUGCCUGGUAGCGGGGGAUAACUAUUGGAAACGAUAGCUAAUACCGCAUAAUAGCAGUUAUUGCAUGAUAACUGUUUGAAAGGUGCAAUUGCACCACUACCAGAUGGACCUUCGUUGUAUUAGCUAGUUGUUGGGGUAACGGCUCACCAAGGCGACGAUACAUAGCCGACCUGAGAGGGUGAGUGGCCACACUGGGACGGAGACACGGCCCAGACUCCUACGGGAGGCAGCAGGAGGGAAACGUCGGCAAUGGACGGAAGGCUGACCGAGCAACGCCGCGGGAGUGAAGAAGGUUUUCGGAUCGUAAAGCUCUGUUGUAAGAGAAGAACGAGUGUGAGAGUGGAAAGUUCACACUGUGACGGUAUCUUACCAGAAAGGGACGGCUAACUACGUG